rnacentral:rRNA from 1 species
UACGUAGGGUGCAAGCGUUAAUCGGAAUUACUGGGCGUAAAGCGUGCGCAGGCGGUUGUGCAAGGCAGAUGUGAAAUCCCCGGGCUCAACCUGGGAACUGCAUUUGUGACUGCACGGCUGGAGUGCGGCAGAGGGGGAUGGAAUUCCGCGUGUAGCAGUGAAAUGCGUAGAUAUGCGGAGGAACACCGAUGGCGAAGGCAAUCCCCUGGGCCUGCACUGGCGCUCAUGCACGAAAGCGUGGGGAGCAAACAGG